UAAUAUUAAACAUACCAAAAAAUAAAUAAAUAAAAAUAAAAUUAUUGUAGAAGUAUUUUGAAGCCUAAGAUGAUAGUAUUUUCUUUUAGAGUGGAUUUUGAUGGUUCUCCCAGAUGCAUAGUGAGCACUAGCCAUUUGGAACCAGUUUAAUCUAAGCUCAAGGCUUGAGGUUUUCUGGGUCAUCAGAUGAGGUAAAGCUGGAUUACAAGUCCAGGCAAUGGUUAGUUUACUUGUAGUUUACUCUGACUUACCCUAAGAGUGGAGUUAUAGCUCAGCUUAAAGUAAGAACUAUUUUAAUCUUUGUCUCUGGUGAGCAUAGACUUCCAUCUUCUGACUUUCUGAGGCUGCUAAAACUGCAGUUCUGUUUCACAGUUGUUUCUUCUGAAUCAGCAGAUACCUCAGGGUAACCUAGGCUUAAUUCUUGGGCUUCUCAUGUUCUCCAAGUGUUCAUCUGACAUUCUCUCCUGGGCUUCUUGACUUUUUGGUAUUUUAAGAUUUUAAAAUAAUAUUCUGUUCAGUUUUUUAAAGUAUAAUUGUAUUGCGUUAAAAAUGUUAUACUUGUACUACAUAAAAGUGUAACUUUGGACAUUCUGGUUUUAAAUCCUACAUAUUACAUGUCAUUUGAGAGAAAUGCAUAUUUCUGGAUUUUAACUUUGUUCCAUCUUUUAGGUCAAUGAUUAAAACAUGCUUUGCUUCUACUGCCUUGCAGGGAGACUGAAUGUGGCACUUUGCCAUAUCUGUGGUCCUGAUAAAAUUAUAUGGAUACAGUCUUCUACUAACAGCAGUGUUUGGCUUAGUGGUAGCUGGAUCUGUAUUAAUAUUCAGGGUAUUAAUUGAUGAUUGGAAAAACAGGAAACCAAGAAAAAAAGGAGGUUUGGCAAGGCAUUCUCUGAAAGCACAGCACUGAAAAGGCUAACUUAUUUAAAAUCUGGACUGUUGGUCCUUAGGCCAUAUUGAUAACUUCAGUCACAAAUUAAAGAAGAGUGUGAUAUAUCAGUAGAAAAAUUUGGUCAUGUCUUGCUCUUCAUUCAGAAUGCCUCUAUCACCAUCUGCU